rnacentral:rRNA from 1 species
GUCACACCCGUUCCCAUGCCGAACACGGAAGUUAAGUUCUCUAGCGCCGAUGGUAGUUGGGACUUUGUCCCUGUGAGAGUAGGACGUUGCCAGGC